rnacentral:lncRNA from 1 species
CAAACAUAAAAGCAGCCAGGAUGGGGACUGCACCUUGCAAAGCCACAGGUGUGGAGCUUCCCAAGGCUGUGGGAGCCCACUACUUGCAUCAGUGUGACCUGGAUGCGAGACAUGGAGACAAAGGAGAUUUUGGAACCAUAUGUCCUGAGAGUUUCUGAAGUUAUUUAACUGGUUCAAUGAGAAUUUAAUCAAGGUCUGCUUUAUAUCAAAAUUUAUGAUUUUUAUUCAAUGCCAUACAUAGAAUUUGUUCACAGUUAUCAUCAAACACACUCAUAGCUAGAGCAUAUUUGCCUGCCACAGUUAGUUUUGUGUUUCCAUGGAAUUUGAGCAAAACUGAUGCACUUGUCUCCCAGGAUUAAUCCAUACAAGUCACCUCUAAAAUUAUCUUUUCCCAUUCGUUGACUGAGCAAAAUGGACUUCAAGGACCUAAAGGAGGUUAAAUACCACAAGAUGGAGGAGCUUGAGUCUCUGAAUCAUUGUGUGUGAAGUCAUCUGCCAAUUACAUAAAUUGAAUUCUUGGGAAUUCUUGGUAUGAUAGGACAUGAAAGCUGAGAGAAAACCCUUCUACCUAGGAACUCCGGAGUUUCAACUACCAGAGACUGAAGGCAGGAGAGAAAAACUAAGACAAAUGACUUCAAAGCCUUUCUGAAAUGCCACAGAGGGUCAGGAUUACAAUCUGCCUAUUCUGAUUCUUCUACUAUGGGAAAAAAUCUUUUUCAGAAUUGGAGGUUUCAGAGUUAAAGUGGAAAAAGAGUUUAUUGAACAGAAUGUAAUGGGAAAGAGAAGAAACAAAAAGGAUCGUUGAAUUUAUUGAGUUUUGCUCAGCUUGACCUUGUGCACAAUAUAUUGUAACAUUAAAAAAUACAUUUGGAGUAUUCUAGACUGGCUUCUGAAAAACCAAAUUGAUUGUAAUAUUGAAUGAAAAUUCUAGAAACCAAUGUUCUCUAAUGCGACAGCCAUGGUCAAAUGGUAAUGUGAAUUCAAAUUGCUGCUUCCCUAGAAUUUCACUUGAGCCAUGUACUUAUCACUUUAUCUUCUCACACCUCAUCUACAUAUGAUUGCAAAAACAGUGUAAAGUGAAAAUUAGCAAAACAGUUUGAAAUAUAGCUGAAAUGUCAGGGAGACAGCAGCAAAUGAACUGUGACAACAAUUGAGUGUAAAUUUAUUGAUGUUGAAAAGGAUAGCAUUUCAAGGAAAACAAGACAGAAAUGCUUGCAGAGAGCCGCAAAUGAAGCCUUAAUAGCUCAUGGAAAAUAGAAGAAAGCUCAAAGGAAAAUGCUACUGCUGAAAUGAGCCCAUGAAGAAGAGGACUGUAAUUGAGAUAACAGGCAAAUGACUCAAACGUGCUGAAGCUGAAGCAUAAAGAGUUUUGUAAAAUGUAGGGUACACAGAGAAGGUUAUAGUAACUCUUCACAUA